ensembl:lncRNA
GGGCCAAGUGUUGGGUCCUGCAUUUUGGUCACAACAACCCCAGGCAACCCUACAGGCUUGGGGAGGAGUGGCUGGAAAGCUGCCUGAUGGAAAGGGACCUUGGUGUACUGAUGGACAGUUGGCUGAAUAUGGGCCAGCAGUGUGCUCAGGUGGCCAAGAAGGCCAAUGGCAUCCUGACUUGUAUCAGGAAUGGUGUGGUGAGCAGGACUAGGAAAGUCAUCCUGCCCCUGUACUCGGCACUGGUGAGGCCUCACCUCGAGUACUGUGUUCAGUUUUGGGCACCUCAAUACAGAAAGGACAUUGAGGUGCUGGAGCAGGUCCAAAGAAGGGCAACAAGGCUUGUGAAGGGCUUGGAGAAUAUGCCCUACGAGGAGAGGCUGAGGGAACUGGGGCUGUUUAGUGUGGGGAAAAGAAGGCUGAGAGGAGACCUUAUUGCUCUCUUCCUGAAAGGUGCUUAUAGCGAGAGCAGAGCUGGUUUCUUCUCACUGCUGACAGGUGACAGGGUGAGGGGAAAUGGCCUCAAGUUGCACCAGGGUAAGUUUAGGUUGGAUAUUAGGAAACACUUCUUUACAGAAAGGGUUGUUAAGCACUGGAAUAGGCUCCCCAGGGAGGUGGUUAAUCACCAUCCCUGGAUGUGUUUAAAAACCAUUUGGAUGUGGUGCUCAGGGACAUGAUUUAGUGGAGGGUUGUUAGAGUUAGGGUACUAUGGUUAGGUUGUGGUUGGACCUGAUGAUCUUGAAGGUCUUUUCCAACCUGAGCAGUUCUAUGAUUCUACGAUUCCUAGAGAUUAUGCCAAACUAGAGUAUCCUUCUCUUCAUUCAAAAAGAAGAGCGUGGUCCUUUUGGAGUGUUUGUGGCUUUUUGUUCGUUUGUUUUUCUAUAAGAGGCUUACCUGGAUAACUCAAAUUGAAAUAAAUGAGCCUGUUAUAAAGACUUUUCCUCAAUUGCCUAAGUUUUCAUAGGCCAGAUGUUCCACAUUGGUUCAGCUAUGUUCACAGAUUUCCAUAAUUUUUUUCUAUUUCCUCAGGGGAAGAAAAACAGUUGGAAGACAAGGCAAAUAAACCGUUCUGGUAGGAUUGGUUUAGGUAGGCU